rnacentral:rRNA from 1 species
ACGAUGGAUCAUCAAGGGAGACGAGUGUUAUUCAUCUUUAACAGGUAUAUAGGGUACCUAGACGGUGUGCAAUGGCUUAAAUAAGUACCUGGUACACUUGAGUUUGAUAUGUGAGAGGAAUAUGUCGGAAUUGUUGGAGUAGAGAUGAAAUGUACUAAUACCAAUAGGACUGAUAACGGCGAAGGCAAACCUCUAUGUACAUGUACUUGCUAUUUCUAUUUGUUUAUUUUUUUUUCAUUAGAAAAAAAAAACUAAAAAUCUCUUAUAAAAUAUAUAAGAUAGAUAAAGAGGAAAAGAGCAAUGUACUAUAACUGACGUUGAGGGACGAAGGCUCAGAGAGUGAAGAGGAUUAGAUACCCCCGUAACCUGGGCAGACAAUGAUGAGUGCCAUAGGUUGGCUUUAAGGCGGAACUAUAAAUGAAAGUGGAAGCACUCCACCUCAAGAGUAAUGUGGCAACGCAGGAACUGAAAUCAUUAGACCGUUUCUGAAACCAGUAGUGAAGU